rnacentral:rRNA from 1 species
ACACGUCUACAUUAGAUACCCCCGGUAGUCCCAGCCGUAAACUAUGCGCGUUAGGUGUAUCGGUGACCACGAGUCACCGAGGUGCCGAAGGGAAACCGUGAAACGUGCCGCCUGGGAAGUACGGUCGCAAGGCUGAAACUUAAAGGAAUUGCGGGGGAGCACCACAACAGGUGGAGCCUGCGGUUUAAUUGGACUCAACGCCGGGAAGCUCACCGGAUAGGACAGCAGAAUGAUUGCCGGGCUGAAGACCCUGCAUGACUAGCUG